rnacentral:rRNA from 1 species
GACGAACGCUGGCGGCGUGCUUAACACAUGCAAGUCGAACGGAAAGGCCCUGCUUUUGUGGGGUGCUCGAGUGGCGAACGGGUGAGUAACACGUGAGUAACCUGCCCUUGACUUUGGGAUAACUUCAGGAAACUGGGGCUAAUACCGGAUAGGAGCUCCUGCUGCAUGGUGGGGGUUGGAAAGUUUCGGCGGUUGGGGAUGGACUCGCGGCUUAUCAGCUUGUUGGUAGGGUAGUGGCUUACCAAGGCUUUGACGGGUAGCCGGCCUGGGAGGGUGACCGGCCACAUUGGGACUGAGAUACGGCCCAGACUCCUACGGGAGGCAGCAGUGGGGAAUAUUGCACAAUGGGCGGAAGCCUGAUGCAGCAACGCCGCGUGCGGGAUGACGGCCUUCGGGUUGUAAACCGCUUUCGCCUGUGACGAAGCGUGAGUGACGGUAAUGGGUAAAGAAGCACCGGCUAACUACGUG